rnacentral:lncRNA from 10 species
CUGGAAAGCUCUUCAGCACACAUAACAGGAUCCAGACAGAACUUGGACCUUCUCUGCUGGAGCAAAUUGGAAUUCCUGAAAUUGAUUGAACCCUCCAUACAGAGGGAGCUCAGUCCGCAUCUCCUCGGUUUAAGGCCCUGCCUCAAAUAGGGGUUCUGAUCCCUCAGGAAAGCAAGGGCUCGAGACACAGACAAACCUGAGCCUGAGGGACUCUAAGGGGAGGUGUGGAGGUGCCAGGAACUAUGAACAAUGAGCAAAGCAUGUCAGUUGUACCAGGGCAUGCCCACCAUCACACUACAUGCUUUCCAGCAUUUCUAUUUAUUACAAAACUGCUUUGACCUUGUUUUACAGGUUAGGAAAAACUGAAGUCUAGAUUUCUCCAGUUACUUGUAAGAAGCCUUCUUUGGUGUCUGGGCCAAAACCACCAACCCCGUGGGCAGGACGAGUUGCUGCAGAUCAAUGAGCACAGAAUGUUCUUUCCAGCAAGGUCCAUUAAGAGAGACCGAAAUAUGAAUAUGGCUGCAUUGGAUUCCAGAGGAGGACUUGAUCAAAUACACAGAAAUAGUGGCUUCAAUGAUCAAGUUAUUUUGCUUCUGGUCAAGUCGGAUACAAGUCUGAGUUUUCUUUUCAAAGCUCCCUUAUGCUGAGAGGAAGUAAGAACAGAAUCAGACUGCAGUCUACAACACAAGUGCCUGAACUCCUUUUCCAAGAAGAGCUUCUGUAGAAUUCCACACUGCCUUAAGCACAACCUCACUCUUUCUCUCACUCUUGGGAAAGAAAAAAGUGAAAGAUGCAUCCGUGUAAUUGACAACCUGAGUACGAUCCCAAGGUUGUUAAUAUAUAGUUUAUUAUAAUCAUGUGGGAAGUAAGCACACAAUUAGAAGUCUUUUCUAUACAAUCUAAUGUCAUUUCUGACUCUGGUAUCUCAUAACCAAAAUGAAGCUAUUUUUCCUUUGUAAGCUCCUGAUGUCUUUUGUUCAAAUCCCUUUAAAACAUAAAGGAACCUUAAAAAGCAAACAAAGGCUGAUGCACCAAUAAAUCGCUUAUGCCCUAUCUUAUUUUGGUAAGUCUAGAUAGGCUCUAAUUAUUUGGUCAUAAUGUAAACAGAUUGUUUAGAAAUAACAGAUAUUUGAUUCAUAAAGCUCACUGUUGAGGCUUUCAUGAUACUGGCUCUUUUAACAUGAGAAGAGGCAAAACGUGAAGUUCAUUGUUGCAACAUAAUCGAUUUAUACUUUGUUUUUCAAAAUGUGUUGUCCCUGAGCUAGAAGGCAGGCUGGGAAGAGUGUGGGGCUCCCAGGAAAAAAGAUGGUGUGGCUUCAUCCAACAGUGCCAUCUGCAUGUUGAGGCUGGGGCUGAAUACCAAACUGUGCUGAAUUGCAAGGAGUUUCCCCCACACGUGUUAUUUCCACAACUUAAAUUUUAAAUUUCUUUCUCACCCAGACUUGUCUUCUGAGACAAAAAACGAGUCCAUAAGAGGGACCCAAUCUGUGUCACCUUUUUAUCCCCCAGCUCCUAUCACAAUGCCUAGAAUGCAAUAGGUGCCAAAUAAAUGCCUAAUUAAAAAUCUCUCCACUUGGGGUAUCUUCAGAAAAAGUCUACAUGGGCUAUCUUUAGUACUAACCCCACAACCAAAAUUUUCCUUCAGUAAAAGAAAAAUGACUGAUACGGUUUGGCUCUGUGUCUCCACCCAAAUCCCAUGUUGAAUUGUAAUCCCCAGUGUUGGAGGUGGGGCCUGGUGGGAGGUGAUUGCAUCAUAGGUGGUUAAGCACCAUCCCCCUAGUACUGCCUCAUGACUGAGUUCUCACGAGAUCUGGUUGUUUAAAAGUGUGUAACCCCAGCCGAGCAAGGUGGCUCUUGCCUGUAAUCCCAGCACUUUGGGAGGCUGAGGCACCUGAAGUCAGGAGUUCCAGACCAGCUUGGCCAAUAUGAGAAAACUUUGUAUCUACUGAAAAUACAAAAAUUACCCGGGUAUAGUGGCACAUGCCUGUAGUCCCAGCUACUUGGGAGGCUGAGGCAGAAGAAUCGCUUGAACUCGGGAGGCAGAGGUUGCAGUGAGCUGAGAUCUCAUCACUGCACUCCAGCCUGGGUGACAGUGAGACUCCAUCUUAAAAAAAAAAAAGGAAAGAAAAGUGUGUAACCCCUCCCCCUUUGCUCUCUUCCUCUUGCUCCUGCCAUGUAAGAUGGGCUUGCUUUCCCUUUGCCUUCUGCUGAUUGUAAGUUUCCUGAGGCCUCCCCCAGAACAGAAGCCUGUACAGCCCAUAAAACCAUGAGCCAAUUAAACCUCUUUUCUUCAGAAAUGACCCACGCUCAGGUAUGUCUUUAUAGCACUGCCAGAAUGGACAAAUACAACGACUUAGUAAGUAUUUUUAUCUUCAUGUAAAUAUAAGGGAAUGGAAAUGGAAGGCUUCAUUUUUUUAGUAAAGGUAUUUUAAGUAUCAAUAAAAAGAGAGGAAAGGAAAUUUGAAGAAAUGGGAAAAUACAUUCUCUAGAAUUUGUGUCACCUUGGUAGUGACAGGCCUGUCCUAUAAAUCCCAGGACAAAGUGAGGCCUAGGAAAGAAAAACACAGUCCCAAGAAGGUCUUCUCUGCCUUUGGCCUUCGUGGCAGACAGAAGUGACCUUCCCAACAGUCUCUGUUCCAGCUCAGUCAGGUUCAACUGCACUGCCCCGAGAAGAUGGACAGCAGCUGGGAGACUCAACACUUACUGGCACAUUCCCUGCUCUUGGUCUAUGAGGUUUUAUUCCCAUAAUUGGGCCCAAGCAUGUAUUCCGAUGACAAUCUUCUGUCCACCCACAGGUGCCCUGGGUGAUUGACAGGGAAAAGCAGCCCUACCCAUAGUUACUGUAGGCUUCACUGAGGCCACAUGGCAUGGACCUGUGCCUGCCCUCCUUCUGGGGCAGGGAGUGGUGUGAACCCACGUGAGUAUUUCUGAAGCUGGGGGGUCCCCCAUGGCUCAGAAACAGGCCCAGAAGUCAGGGCACCAGGGACCAAUCACAGUCCUACUCCUUCCUAGAAACCAGAUACUGGAAGCUGCCUUCUUAUUUGGGGAAUGGAUCUUUCAUUUCAUAACUGGUUAAAAGGAUUUUAUAUGCAAAGUCCCCAAAAAUAAAUUCACUGUGAUGCCUAGUUAACUAUCCCUAAAUUCUUUUCACUGAUAUUCUCAAUUUGCUAUUCUCCAGAUACCAUUUCCUGAAUUAAAUUCUGUUGAUCUUUUUCACUCAAAAAAAGUGAUGAGUUAUCUCCAGAACAUUGAUUUUUAUCAACCUUGAGAGUAAUACUGCCUUUAUAUAUUAUAAUGAUCAGAAUGUUCUGUACAUUUCCACUGCUUCAAAAUUGUUUGUAAUAAUUACUUGGACAUAAGACCUGCCACUGACUCACACUUUAUAAAAAGGAUUUUAAGUCCAUGUGUGUAGCAUUACCCGGAUAUAAUUCUCUAGAAAGAGAAUUCCCAUUUUAUUCAUUUAUUUAUUUUUUGCAAACAAUUUUAGAGGCAGGGUGUUAAACUGAUUAAAAU